rnacentral:rRNA from 1 species
UACGUAGGAUGCGAGCGUUGUCCGGAAUUAUUGGGCGUAAAGAGCUUGUAGGCGGUCUGUCGCGUCUGCUGUGAAAAUCCGGGGCUCAACCUCGGGCCUGCAGUGGGUACGGGCAGACUGGAGUGCGGUAGGGGAGAAUGGAAUUCCUGAUGUAGCGGUGGAAUGCGCAGAUAUCAGGAGGAACACCGAUGGCGAAGGCAGUUCUCUGGGCCGUAACUGACGCUGAGGAGCGAAAGCGUGGGGAGCGAACAGG